GGGCCUAUAGCUCAGACGGUUAGAGCGCGUCCCUGAUAAGGACGAGGUCGGAGGUUCAAGUCCUCCUAGGCCCACCA
rnacentral:tRNA from 1 species